CCGUGUACGUACAAGCAGUGGGAGCCCCACCACUAAGCCAGUGGUGAACUCCACAUACGCAUCCUUUGCUGAGGAUACGGUUAACGGAGCGAAAGCGACGUUCAACCGCAAAAGAAGCAGAGGGGGCUUAGUGGUGGGGUGACUGCGUACCUUUUGUAUAAUGGGUCAGCGACUUAUAUUCUGUAGCAAGGUUAACCGUAUAGGGGAGCCGGAGGGAAACCGAGUCUUAAUUGGGCGUUAAGUUGCAGGGUAUAGACCCGAAACCCGGUGAUCUAGCCAUGGGCAGGUUGAAGGUUGGGUAACACUAACUGGAGGACCGAACCGACUAAUGUUGAAAAAUUAGCGGAUGACCUGUGGCUGGGGGUGAAAGGCCAAUCAAACCGGGAGAUAGCUGGUUCUCCCCGAAAGCUAUUUAGGUAGCGCCUCGUGAAUUCAUCUCCGGGGGUAGAGCACUGUUUCGGCUAGGGGGCCAUCCCGGCUUACCAACCCGAUGCAAACUGCGAAUACCGGAGAAUGUUAUCACGGGAGACACACGGCGGGUGCUAACGUCCGUCGUGAAGAGGGAAACAACCCAGACCGCCAGCUAAGGUCCCAAAGUCAUGGUUAAGUGGGAAACGAUGUGGGAAGGCCCAGACAGCCAGGAUGUUGGCUUAGAAGCAGCCAUCAUUUAAAGAAAGCGUAAUAGCUCACUGGUCGAGUCGGCCUGCGCGGAAGAUGUAACGGGGCUAAACCAUGCACCGAAGCUGCGGCAGCGAACGUAUCACUUAAAGCGAUUCAGCGGGUUACGAUU
rnacentral:rRNA from 1 species